UGGGCGUAAAGAGCUCGUAGGUGGUUUGUCGCGUUGUUCGUGAAAUCUCACGGCUUAACUGUGAGCGUGCGGGCGAUACGGGCAGACUUGAGUACUGCAGGGGAGACUGGAAUUCCUGGUGUAGCGGUGGAAUGCGCAGAUAUCAGGAGGAACACCGGUGGCGAAGGCGGGUCUCUGGGCAGUAACUGACGCUGAGGAGCGAAAGCGUGGGGAGCGAACAGGAUUAGAUACCCUGGUAGUCCACGCCGUAGACGGUGGGUACUAGGUGUGGGUUUCCUUCCUUGGGAUCCGUGCCGUAGCUAACGCAUUAAGUACCCCGCCUGGGGAGUACGGCCGCAAGGCUAAACUCAAAGAAACUGACGGGGGCCCGCACAAGCGGCGGAGCAUGUGGAUUAAUUCGAUGCAACGCGAAGAACCUUACCUGGGUUUGACAUGCACAGGACGCCGGCAGAGAUGUCGGUUCCCUUGUGGCCUGUGUGCAGGUGGUGCAUGGCUGUCGUCAGCUCGUGUCGUGAGAUGUUGGGUUAAGUCCCGCAACGAGCGCAACCCUUGUCUCAUGUUGCCAGCGGGUAAUGCCGGGGACUCGUGAGAGACUGCCGGGGUCAACUCGGAGGAGGGUGGGGAUGACGUCAAGUCAUCAUGCCCCUUAUGUCCAGGGCUUCACACAUGCUACAAUGGCCGGUACAAAGGGCUGCGAUGCCGCGAGGUUAAGCGAAUCCUUUUAAAGCCGGUCUCAGUUCGGAUCGGGGUCUGCAACUCGACCCCGUGAAGUCGGAGUCGCUAGUAAU
rnacentral:rRNA from 1 species